UUCGAAACCCAACUCUGAAGAACAGCAUAGCAAGCCUUGCGAGUAGAGGAAUUGGGGGAGCUAGGUGGAGACUUAGGGAUAUCAUCUGGAUCCGAGUCAUGACGAGUCAGUCCUUGACUCAGUGAACUCGACGUCGAUUCCUUGUUCUCUGCCAUUUAAUUCACUCGAUUCUUCCUUCGUCGGGUUGUUCAAUUCAGCUGUAGAAGUCCCUUGUUGACUCUAUUUUCG
rnacentral:misc_RNA from 1 species